rnacentral:rRNA from 1 species
UACGUAGGGUGCAAGCGUUAAUCGGAAUUACUGGGCGUAAAGCGUGCGCAGGCGGUUGUGCAAGACAGAUGUGAAAUCCCCGGGCUCAACCUGGGAACUGCAUUUGUGACUGCAUGGCUGGAGUGCGGCAGAGGGGGAUGGAAUUCCGCGUGUAGCAGUGAAAUGCGUAGAUAUGCGGAGGAACACCGAUGGCGAAGGCAAUCCCCUGGGCCUGCACUGACGCUCAAUGCACGAAAGCGUGGGGAGCAAACAGG